rnacentral:rRNA from 1 species
UACGUAGGGGGCUAGCGUUGUCCGGAAUCAUUGGGCGUAAAGAGCGCGUAGGCGGCCAGAUAAGUCCGGUGUGAAAGUCAAAGGCUCAACCUUUGAAUGCCGCUGGAAACUGUCUGGCUAGAGUCCGGGAGGGGCGAGCGGAAUUCCUGGUGUAGCGGUGAAAUGCGCAGAUAUCAGGAGGAACACCAAUGGCGAAGGCGGCUCACUGGUCCGGUACUGACGCUGAGGUGCGAAAGCGUGGGGAGCAAACAGG